rnacentral:rRNA from 1 species
UCAAGUAAUUAAGUGCAUGUGGUGGAUGCCUUGGCAGUCAGAGGCGAUGAAAGACGUGAUAGCCUGCGAAAAGCUCCGGGGAGGCGGCAAAUAUCCUUUGAUCCGGAGAUGUCUGAAUGGGGGAACCCACCUACUUUAAGGUAGGUAUUGCAACAUGAAUACAUAGUGUUGCAAGGCGAACGAGGGGAAGUGAAACAUCUCAGUACCCUUAGGAAAAGAAAUCAAUUGAGAUUCCCUCAGUAGCGGCGAGCGAACGGGGAUCAGCCCAUUAAGUUAUGUGUGUUUUAGUGGAACGCUCUGGGAAGUGCGAACGUAGAGGGUGAUAUUCCCGUACACGAAAGGGCACACAUAAUGAUGACGAGUAGGGCGAGGCACGUGAAACCUUGUCUGAAUAUGGGGGGACCAUCCUCCAAGGCUAAAUACUCCUGACUGACCGAUAGUGAACCAGUACCGUGAGGGAAAGGCGAAAAGAACCCCUGUGAGGGGAGUGAAAUAGAUCCUGAAACCGCAUGCAUACAAGCAGUGGGAGCACCUUCGUGGUGUGACUGCGUACCUUUUGUAUAAUGGGUCAGCGACUUAUAUUCAGUAGCGAGGUUAACCGUAUAGGGGAGCCGUAGAGAAAUCGAGUCUUAAUAGGGCGUUUAGUUGCUGGGUAUAGACCCGAAACCAGGCGAUCUAUCCAUGAGCAGGUUGAAGGUUGGGUAACACUAACUGGAGGACCGAACCCACUGUCGUUGAAAAGCCAGGGGAUGACUUGUGGAUAGGGGUGAAAGGCUAAUCAAGCCUGGUGAUAGCUGGUUCUCCCCGAAAGCUAUUUAGGUAGCGCCUCGGACGAAUACCAUAGGGGGUAGAGCACUGUUUCGGCUAGGGGGUCAUCCCGACUUACCAAACCGAUGCAAACUCCGAAUACCUAUGAGUACUAUCCGGGAGACAGACUGCGGGUGCUAACGUCCGUAGUCAAGAGGAAAACAAUCCAGACCGCCAGCUAAGGCCCCAAAAUCAUAGUUAAGUGGGAAACGAUGUGGGAAGGCAUAGACAGCUAGGAGGUUGGCUUAGAAGCAGCCACCCUUUAAAGAAAGCGUAAUAGCUCACUAGUCGAGUCGGCCUGCGCGGAAGAUGUAACGGGGCUAAAACUAUGUGCCGAAGCUGCGGAUGUAUACUUUGUAUACGUGGUAGGGGAGCGUUCUGUAAGCCGAUGAAGGUGUGUUGAGAAGCAUGCUGGAGGUAUCAGAAGUGCGAAUGCUGACGUGAGUAACGACAAAACGGGUGAAAAACCCGUUCGCCGAAAGACCAAGGGUUCCAGUCCAACGUUAAUCGGGGCUGGGUGAGUCGACCCCUAAGGCGAGGCCGAAAGGCGUAGUCGAUGGGAAAAUGGUUAAUAUUCCAUUACUUCUGUGUAAUGCGAUGAGAGGACGGAGAAGGCUAAAUCAGCCUGGCGUUGGUUGUCCAGGUGAAAGGAUGUAGGCAUGUAUCUUAGGCAAAUCCGGGGUACUCUAUGCUGAGAUCUGAUAGCAAGCUGUACUUGUACAGCGAAGUGGUUGAUGCCAUGCUUCCAGGAAAAGUCUCUAAGCUUCAGUUACACAGGAAUCGUACCCGAAACCGACACAGGUGGUCAGGUCGAGUAGACCAAGGCGCUUGAGAGAACUCUGCUGAAGGAACUAGGCAAAAUGGUACCGUAACUUCGGGAGAAGGUACGCUGUUGUUGGUGAUGGAACUCGCUUCCUGAGCUGACGACAGCCGCAGAAACCAGGCCGCUGCAACUGUUUAUUAAAAACAUAGCACUCUGCAAACACGAAAGUGGACGUAUAGGGUGUGAUGCCUGCCCGGUGCUGGAAGGUUAAUUGAUGGGGUUAGCGUAAGCGAAGCUCUUGAUCGAAGCCCCAGUAAACGGCGGCCGUAACUAUAACGGUCCUAAGGUAGCGAAAUUCCUUGUCGGGUAAGUUCCGACCUGCACGAAUGGCAUAAUGAUGGCGGCGCUGUCUCCAGCAGAGGCUCAGUGAAAUCGAAAUCGCUGUGAAGAUGCAGUGUACCCGCGGCUAGACGGAAAGACCCCGUGAACCUUUACUGCAGCUUGACACUGAACUUUGACCUUACUUGUGUAGGAUAGGUGGGAGGCUUUGAAGCUGGAACGCUAGUUCCAGUGGAGCCGUCCUUGAAAUACCACCCUGGUAAUGUUGAGGUUCUAACUCUGUCCCGUGAUCCGGGACGAGGACCGUGUCUGGUGGGUAGUUUGACUGGGGCGGUCUCCUCCUAAAGAGUAACGGAGGAGUACGAAGGUGCGCUCAGCGUGGUCGGAAAUCACGCGUAGAGUAUAAAGGCAAAAGCGCGCUUAACUGCGAGACCCACAAGUCGAGCAGGUACGAAAGUAGGUCUUAGUGAUCCGGUGGUUCUGUAUGGAAGGGCCAUCGCUCAACGGAUAAAAGGUACUCUGGGGAUAACAGGCUGAUACCGCCCAAGAGUUCAUAUCGACGGCGGUGUUUGGCACCUCGAUGUCGGCUCAUCUCAUCCUGGGGCUGAAGCAGGUCCCAAGGGUAUGGCUGUUCGCCAUUUAAAGAGGUACGCGAGCUGGGUUUAGAACGUCGUGAGACAGUUCGGUCCCUGUCUACCGUGGGCGCUGGAAAUUUGAGAGGAUCUGCUCCUAGUACGAGAGGACCAGAGUGGACGAACCUCUGGUGUACCGGUUGUGACGCCAGUCGCAUCGCCGGGUAGCUAUGUUCGGAAGGGAUAACCGCUGAAAGCAUCUAAGCGGGAAGCCUACCUCAAGAUAAGAUUUCCCUAGGACUUUAUGUCCUCUAAAGAGCCGUUCGAGACUAGGACGUUGAUAGGUUGGAUGUGGAAGCAUAGUGAUAUGUGAAGCUGACCAAUACUAAUUGCUCGUGAGGCUUGACUAU